UACAGGGGGGGCAAGCGUUGUUCGGAAUUACUGGGCGUAAAGGGCCAGUAGGCGGCCAACUAAGUCACACGUGAAAUCCCCAGGCUUAACCUGGGAACUGCGUGCGAUACUGGAUGGCUUGAAUUCGGGAGAGGGAUGCAGAAUUCCAGGUGUAGCGGUGAAAUGCGUAGAUAUCUGGAGGAAUACCGGUGGCGAAGGCGGCAUCCUGGACCGACAUUGACGCUGAACGGCGAAAGCUAGGGGAGCAAACGGG
rnacentral:rRNA from 1 species